rnacentral:rRNA from 1 species
GACGAACGCUGGCGGCAUGCCUAAUACAUGCAAGUCGAGCGAACAGAUGAAGUGCUUGCACUUCUGACGUUAGCGGCGAACGGGUGAGUAACACGUAAGGAAUCUACCUAUAAGCGGGGGAUAACAUUCGGGAACGGGUGCUAAUACCGCAUAAUAUCUUCUUCCGCAUGGAAGGAGAUUGAAAGACGGCUCUGCUGUCACUUAUAGAUGACCUUGCGGUGCAUUAGUUGGUGGGGUAACGGCCUACCAAGACGAUGAUGCAUAGCCGACCUGAGAGGGUGAUCGGCCACAUUGGGACUGAGACACGGCCCAAACUCCUACGGGAGGCAGCAGUAGGGAAUCUUCCGCAAUGGGCGAAAGCCUGACGGAGCAAUGCCGCGUGAGUGAAGAAGGCCUUCGGGUCGUAAAACUCUGUUAUAAGAGAAGAACAAAUUGUAGAGUAACUGCUACAGUCUUGACGGUAUCUUAUCAGAAAGCCACGGCUAACUACGUGCCAGCAGCCGCCGUAA